rnacentral:rRNA from 1 species
GUGCCAGCAGCCGCGGUAAUACGAAGGGGGCUAGCGUUGCUCGGAUUUACUGGGCGUAAAGGGCGCGUAGGCGGAUGACCAAGUUGGGGGUGAAAUCCCGGGGCUUAACCUCGGAACUGCCUCCAAAACUGGUCGUCUUGAGUUUGGGAGAGGUGUGUGGAACUCCGAGUGUAGAGGUGAAAUUCGUAGAUAUUCGGAAGAACACCAGUGGCGAAGGCGACACACUGGCCCAAUACUGACGCUGAGGCGCGAAAGCGUGGGGAGCAAACAGGAUUAGAUACCCCCGUAGUCC